rfam:Aspergillus aculeatus ATCC 16872 unplaced genomic scaffold ASPACscaffold_1, whole genome shotgun sequence.
GUCUCCAUGGUGUAGUGGUUAUCACGUGGGUCUCAUAUGCAAAUAUGACUUGGAAGUCGCACUUCCAGGAUAUCCCAAGGCCGGGAGUUCGAUCCUCCCUGGGGACA